UCCGGUGGCCUAGUGGUUAGAUCGUCCGCCUAGUAUGCGGGAGGUCGUGUGUUCGAACCCCGGCCUAGUCAU